GCGGGCGUGGCGAAAUUGGUAGACGCGCUAGACUUAGGAUCUAGUGUUUACACAUGGGGGUUCGAGUCCCUCCGCCCGCA
rnacentral:tRNA from 1 species